rnacentral:piRNA from 1 species
AACCUAUAGAAUACCGGAUGAGGUCCA